GCCACAUCACGUUGAAACACCUGUUCCCGUGCAAUCAUCGAAGUUAAGCAAAGUUGAGCCUGGUCAGUACCUAGAUGGGUGGACGUGUGGGAAUUCCUGGUGCUGUAAG